CUUGUCCAAAAGUUACAGAUGUGCACAGGGAGCUCGCAGUCCGCGCGGCUGCCUACGGCAGAGGAGAGAGAGAACUCCGCAGGGCGCGCCGUUGGCUUCUGCGUGAGUGACAACGCUGCUUUCCCAGUUCGACCCCGUCUCCUCUGCGCUCGGCGGAGGGCUGCAGUGAGCAUCGUUUAUCCUUCGCCAGGAAGAGCCAGUUGUGUUUGGUCCCUCGUGCCUGGCCAUCCCCAGGCUGGAUUCUUCGGAGGUGGGCUUUUACACUCUCCUUAGUGGAUUCUGACUUCUUGUGUCUGACGAGCCUGGGCAGUACUACCUCUCCUGACCAGGGACCGAAAGUGCCCUGGUAGGCUCAUUCCACACCCGGCUUCUCGUCAGGAAGAGCUUACCCAGGCAUUCAGGCAUCAGGAUCAAUGAUGAACUUUCAAAAAGGAAAAAGAUGGAAAAUCAUCGAAAUUAUCAUAAUCUGUGCUCCCAACUAAAUGAGUGUUUCCUUGUAGCAUGAGCAGUCAAAGGAAAUUAUAUUCCUGUGUUAUUUAGUCUACCAACAGCCUAUUUGCACACUGUCUUCAUCUAGACUAUUCUUGAAAGCAGAGCCUGAGACAAAGGUAGAGACAUACUCUAUUUGGAAAUGUGGUCCCAGGGAACAAGGAUGAGACAAGGGAGAAAACAGGUGGAAAAGGAAAGAAUGUCCAAGCAAAAAAGGUAGUGUUAGUGAGUGGUCCACUAGUGUUCUUGGCUACUUAGUGCAGAACCUUCCCAGUAUCCUAAUUAAACUGUGUCUCAGAAUUGUCUGCCUGAGGGAUGAAAAGAAGAAGCAUUUAUCUGUCAGCGGAUAUCACCUGUGUGCUGAGGGCUGCUCCCAUGGGGCAGCAACACCCCCACGAAGAGAGCCUCACUGGGCUACAGCAUCACACGCACUGUAGCAGAGACGCUUCAGGACAAGAAGCUAGAUUCUUGAUACAAGCCUGAGAUGAGGCACUGUCAGCACAGAACAGGGUGAAACCUGCCCAGAGCUGUUCACCAAAGCCACAGCUGGAACUGGAGGUGGAAGAGAUGGGAGGCAGUGCACAGGAGGCAUCUCUGAAGCCUGGAGAAGGUGCUGUUAGCCUUGUCUAAAUCCUCUCUCCUUUCCAUCAUUACAGUUUCAUUGUCCAGAACAGAGGUUGGCAGAGGGCUAAAUAGGAAGGCUAAAUGUAUUUCCUAGAAGCUGUAUGUUAAUAACAGUUUUAACCUUGAGUAAUGUGCAUAAGAAAUAGAAAGUGACAUUAGAACUUGAAAAAACUUGUUACUCUAUUGGAUAGCAGUAUUAGAUAUCCUCUAAAUUCAUGUAAUCUGAGAAGUAAUCAUAAAUUGGAGAAAUAAAAUCAACCAUUUCUUAUAUUUCUAUCAGCUUUAUAAAUCAGUGUCAUUAGUUUUUCCUAAGAUAUUGUCUUUUAUUGUUACAUAGCACUAGUGAUAUAGAAAUUACAACCAAUGAAGGGAACACUGGUAGGAACACAGGAAUGAAAAAUGUUGGAAUAAUUUCCAUCACAUAAAGGGUUGGUAUUAAUAUAGGUUGGAAUCAAGGCAGGAGAUGGGGGAUAACUGCACAUUUUGACUUGGGGUUCUUCUUUGAAGUUCCAUUUUACCAGAAAUAAUUUUCUCUCUGCCUACAUCCAUAUGAUAGCAUAAUCAUCCUCUCUUAUCUGAUCUGCAAUUACCAUCAAUAAGAAUAAACUUUUGAGUUACU